rnacentral:rRNA from 1 species
GAGAGUUAAACAGUACGUGAAAUUGUUGAAAGGGAAACGAUUGAAGUCAGUCAUACUAACGGGAAAUCAACCUCUUGAGUUUGGUCUCGUGGGUUUCGAAGAGUUUUAAAAGCCUUCGGAUUUUCGAGAUUGGGCUCUUCUGGUGUACUUUCUCGUACGGUUAGUCAACAUCGGUUUUGAAUGUCAUAAAAUGACUGGAGGAAUGUGGCUUCGAUCUCGUAUUGAAGUGUUAUAACCUUUGGUAGAUGUGAUGUUUGAGACCGAGGAUUGCAACGGAUACCCUUCUGGGCUAUUCGUCUGAUCUCUGAAACGUUGCCUUGAUGUCGAAAGCUUGCUUAUGAUGUUAGGGUAUUACGGUCAAAAGGUUAGAACGGAUUAAAUUCGUUAAGGAUGUUGACGUAAUGACUUUAAACGA